CACAUCCAAACCCCCUAAACCACCCCUCCCUUUGAUCUGUGUACAGGCCGACCACCACCACCCUCUGGUGGUGGCACGACGAAGAAACGGAGAGAGAGAGAGUGAAGGCGAAGAAAGAGAGUGACGACGAUGAGAGAGAGACCGGAGCAGGGAAGACAACGGAGCCACGCCGGCGGCGGCAUGGUUUUUGGUCUGACGAGUUGUUCUACCGAUAAACAGGUCAAUGAUGAUGUUAGGCCACUGGAGGUUGAAGAUGGUGGAGGUGGUUCUGCACGACGGCAG